rnacentral:rRNA from 1 species
GAUAAACGUUUGCGGCGUGCCUGAUGCAUGCAAGUCGAACGCCCUGAUUUUUCGCAAGAUUUAUCAGGGAGUGGCGAACGGCUGAGUAACACGUAAGUAACCUGUCCUUAAGUGGGGGAUAACUUGCCGAAAGGCAGGCUAAUACCGCAUGUGCUGGUAAACGUCAGUUUAUCAGCAAAGCUUUUGCGCUUGAGGAGGGGCUUGCGUCUGAUUAGCUAGUUGGUUAGGGUAAUGGCCUACCAAGGCGAUGAUCAGUAGCUGGUCUGAGAGGACAACCAGCCAGACGGGGACUGAGAUACGGCCCUGACUCCUACGGGAGGCUG